rnacentral:rRNA from 1 species
AGGCGCGAAAGCGUGGGGAGCGAACAGGAUUAGAUACCCUGGUAGUCCACGCCGUAAACGAUGAGUGCUAAGUGUUAGAGGGUUUCCGCCCUUUAGUGCUGCAGCUAACGCAUUAAGCACUCCGCCUGGGGAGUACGGUCGCAAGACUGAAACUCAAAGGAAUUGACGGGGGCCCGCACAAGCGGUGGAGCGUGUGGUUUAAUUCGAAGCAACGCGAAGAACCUUACCAGGUCUUGACAUCCUUUGCCACUUCUAGAGAUAGAAGGUUCCCCUUCGGGGGACAAAGUGACAGGUGGUGCAUGGUUGUCGUCUGCUCGUGUCGUGAGAUGUUGGGCUAAGUCCCGCAACGAGCGCAACCCUUGAUCUUAGUUGCCAGCAUUCAGUUGGGCACUCUAAGGUGACUGCCGGUGGCAAACCGGAGGAAGGUGGGGAUGACGUCAAAUCAUCAUGCCCCCUAUGACCUGGGCUACACACGUGCUACAAUGGAUGGUACAAAGGGCUGCGAGACCGCGAGGUUUAGCCAAUCCCAUAAAACCAUUCUCAGUACGGAUUGCAGGCUGCAACUCGCCUGCAUGAAGCUGGAAUCGCUAGUAAUCGCGGAUCAGCAUGCCGCGGUUGUACGUUCCUAUUAUAUAAUACCGACUCA